rnacentral:rRNA from 1 species
UUAAUUAAAAUUCUAGGUGUAAAAAUGAUGAUGACAUUUAUACCUAUGUCUUGACCAAGUCAUGUGCCAGCAGUCGCGGCAACACAUGGAAGACUAGUGUUAUUCAUCUUAAUUAGGUUUAAAGGGUACGUAGACGGUUUAUUAAGCCUAUAAAAGGAACUAAUAAACUAGAGUUUAAUAGAAGAAUAAAGGAGUACGAUGAGUGGAGAGAUUGAAUAUAUUGAUUCCAAAUUUGGACUGGUAAAGGUUAAAGCAAUAUUCUAUGUAUAAACUGACGUUGAGGGACGAAGGCCGAAAAGAGUGAACAGGUUUAGUUACCCUAGUAAUACGAGCAGACAAUGAUGAGUGCCAUAUGUAAAAAUUUUUAUGUAUAAACGAAAGUGUAAGCAUUCCACCUCAAGAGUAAUACGGCAACGUAGGAACUGAAAUCACUAGACCGCUUUUGAAACCAGUAGUGAAGUAUGUUAUUUAAUUUGAUGAUCCACGGAAAACCUUACCACAGUUUGGAUAUUUAUAUACUAAAACAUAUAUAAAUACAGGCGUUGCACGGCUGUCUUCAGUUAAUGUUGUGAGAUUUUGGUUAGCUCCAAAAAAUUAACGUAAACCCUUAUUUUAUUUGAUAUAAAGUAGCUCGUCGCUAUAUUGAAUGUGAUAAAAGGGACCAAGGCAAGUCAUCAUGACCCUAACACUGUGGGCUAUAGACGUGCCACGUGUUCCUAGACAAAGAGAUGCAAAA